GCCUUCUUGGCUCAGUUGGCAGAGCGUCUCCCUAGUACUCAAUCCGAUAGGAGAAGGUCACCAGUUCGAUUCUGGUAGAAGGCA